rnacentral:lncRNA from 1 species
CUGCCGAGGUUAUCAGCCUACUCUGGUGACAAGAUAAAAGAACUAAUUGGUCUAGAUGAGCGAUACCCUGGGCGGCUCAAGGUGAUGUCUCUCGCACACAACUUUUUAACUGUUGUUGACACCCUUGGUGAUCAUGAACUAGUUUUUUCAAUUCAAUUAUUCUUCAUUGUCACAGACCAAACCAGAAAACUGGAAGGACAACAUCAACUGGGUUUGGCACUCCAUGAUGUCAGAUAAUCCACCAGACCUUGGCAUACAUAGCGUAAGCUGCAUUGCACUCACCGUUCGAAAGCAUCAUUGUUUGUACAAAUUUAACUAACUAGUGGCAUCAUCCUGUUCAACCUUGCGCAGCCACCCAUAGAGCUUGGGGCUAUCGUGGAUGACGGGGUUGAAAAGAUCUUCAGAGAUGCGGUUACAGCAUGGUGUAUCAAACAUCCAGGUUCCAUUUGUGAUGGACGUGCUGGGGGGAGGAUGAUGCCACCAUGGAGAAGUUCCUGCAGGGGAUCAAGGACAACAAAAAAGAUUUUGUUAGAAAUCUCAUGGAUGCAUUCGCUGCUACAAGAUCAAAAUCAAUGAGCACAUUGGCUACAACAGGUAUUGUAAAAAGAAUUCCUCCAAUCUAACCAUCUCAAUCAGCAUCCCUCUGUGUUUGAUGAAAAUGUCUUCCUAACUAAAAAUAUCAUGUAGCAGCUGCAGUGGAUAGUGGCACGCAUGUCGGUGCACACCCGAUGGCAAAUGAAACGACAAUUCCAGCCACUCAAAGUUCUAUUGUUGUUCAUGAUACGUCAGGUAAGUAAGCGAAAUUACUUCAACUGUACUGAUAGCAAGCAGCUGACUUAUUAGAGCUUUGCCAAAUCAAUAAACUCAUUCAGAGAUGGAAAAAAUAGAAAUUGCAGCAGGUGCAGAAAGCUUGAUUCAGGAGGGUGAUUUACCAGCACUUGUAAGUGCAUUUAGUGUCACCCCUAGUUGGUUUUGGAGUAUUGACGACAAACCUAGUUGAGGA